ACAAUGGAGAGUUUGAUCCUGGCUCAGGAUGAACGCUAGCGGGAGGCCUAACACAUGCAAGCCGAGCGGUAGAUUGCUUUCGGGCAAUUGAGAGCGGCGUACGGGUGCGGAACACGUGUGCAACCUGCCUUUAUCUGGGGGAUAGCCUUUCGAAAGGAAGAUUAAUACCCCAUAAUAUAAGAGACGGCAUCGUUUUUUAUUGAAAACUCCGGUGGAUAGAGAUGGGCACGCGCAAGAUUAGAUAGUUGGUGAGGUAACGGCUCACCAAGUCUACGAUCUUUAGGGGGCCUGAGAGGGUGAUCCCCCACACUGGUACUGAGACACGGACCAGACUCCUACGGGAGGCAGCAGUGAGGAAUAUUGGACAAUGGGUGAAAGCCUGAUCCAGCCAUCCCGCGUGAAGGACGACGGCCCUAUGGGUUGUAAACUUCUUUUGUAUAGGGAUAAACCUUUCCACGAGUGGAAAGCUGAAGGUACUAUACGAAUAAGCACCGGCUAACUCCGUGCCAGCAGCCGCGGUAAUACGGAGGGUGCAAGCGUUAUCCGGAUUUAUUGGGUUUAAAGGGUCCGUAGGCUGAUUUGUAAGUCAGUGGUGAAAUCUCACAGCUUAACUGUGAAACUGCCAUUGAUACUGCAAGUCUUGAGUGUUGUUGAAGUAGCUGGAAUAAGUAGUGUAGCGGUGAAAUGCAUAGAUAUUACUUAGAACACCAAUUGCGAAGGCAGGUUACUAAGCAACAACUGACGCUGAUGGACGAAAGCGUGGGGAGCGAACAGGAUUAGAUACCCUGGUAGUCCACGCCGUAAACGAUGCUAACUCGUUUUUGGGAUGUAAAUUUCAGAGACUAAGCGAAAGUGAUAAGUUAGCCACCUGGGGAGUACGAACGCAAGUUUGAAACUCAAAGGAAUUGACGGGGGCCCGCACAAGCGGUGGAUUAUGUGGUUUAAUUCGAUGAUACGCGAGGAACCUUACCAAGGCUUAAAUGGGAAAUGACAGGCUUAGAAAUAGGCUUUUCUUCGGACAUUUUUCAAGGUGCUGCAUGGUUGUCGUCAGCUCGUGCCGUGAGGUGUUAGGUUAAGUCCUGCAACGAGCGCAACCCCUGUCACUAGUUGCCAUCAUUAAGUUGGGGACUCUAGUGAGACUGCCUACGCAAGUAGAGAGGAAGGUGGGGAUGACGUCAAAUCAUCACGGCCCUUACGCCUUGGGCCACACACGUAAUACAAUGGCCGGUACAGAGGGCAGCUACACAGUGAUGUGAUGCAAAUCUCGAAAGCCGGUCUCAGUUCGGAUUGGAGUCUGCAACUCGACUCUAUGAAGCUGGAAUCGCUAGUAAUCGCGCAUCAGCCAUGGCGCGGUGAAUACGUUCCCGGGCCUUGUACACACCGCCCGUCAAGCCAUGGAAGUCUGGGGUACCUGAAGUCGGUGACCGUAAAAGGAGCUGCCUAGGGUAAAACAGGUAACUAGGGCUAAGUCGUAACAAGGUAGCCGUACCGGAAGGUGCGGCUGGAACAUCUCAUUUUAGA
rnacentral:rRNA from 1 species